rnacentral:rRNA from 1 species
CCUACGGGGGGCAGCAGUGGGGAAUACUGGACAAUGGGGGGAACCCUGAUCCAGCCAUGCCGCGUGUGUGAAGAAGGCCCUCGGGUUGUAAAGCACUUUCAGUGAGGAAGAACGCCUGGUGGUUAAUACCCAUCAGGAAAGACAUCACUCACAGAAGACGCACCGGCUAACUCCGUGCCAGCAGCCGCGGUAAUACGGAGGGUGCGAGCGUUAAUCGGAAUUACUGGGCGUAAAGCGCGCGUAGGUGGCUUGAUAAGCCGGUUGUGAAAGCCCCGGGCUCAACCUGGGAACGGCAUCCGGAACUGUCAAGCUAGAGUGCAGGAGAGGAAGGUAGAAUUCCCGGUGUAGCGGUGAAAUGCGUAGAGAUCGGGAGGAAUACCAGUGGCGAAGGCGGCCUUCUGGACUGACACUGACACUGAGGUGCGAAAGCGUGGGUAGCAAACAGGAUUAGAUACCCGUGUAGUC